rnacentral:lncRNA from 1 species
UGUGUUUAAUGAUUGAUAAUUUUCAUUACUUUUGUUCAUUUUUUGGUGGUGGAACUGUUUGACAUACGAAAGUAUCAUCAGGUUACCCUAUAAAAGGUGUAAAGAUCAAGAGAAAAAGAAGAAGGUUCGGCAGAAUUUAGACAAGCUACUAAUAAAUACACUACAUCUACGUUCUAUGUUGAACUGUCAAACUUGACCAAUACUUAACGCUUCCGGUGGGCGCAAGAAAAAGAGUAAUUUUGUAAGAUAACCAAAAAUAUACAAGUGAGUAUAAAGUUUGAUUUGAUUUUGAUUUUUGGUGUUUUACGCCACUUUUAAGCACCACAUUUAGGCUAUUUCAUGGCAGCCAGUUUUUAUUGGGGGAGGAAGCCAGAGUGCCUGGAGAAAACCACCUUUGAAAGGAAAACUGACAUUCCUAGUCCUAGUCAAUAAAGUUUGACAAAUAAAAAUAGAGAAAAAAACUAAUAAUAUUAAAGCAAAGUAAUAAAAAGGGGGAAGUCCCCUUUGCUUUUCGUUUAUCACACUGUUUUAUUUAUCAAUACUUUUGUACACUAAAAUAUUUUAAAGGUGCGUACAUCACAAUCAAUCAUAGAUA